rnacentral:rRNA from 2 species
AUGGGAGCUUGCUCCCUGAAGUCAGCGGCGGACGGGUGAGUAACACGUGGGCAACCUGCCUGUAAGACUGGGAUAACUCCGGGAAACCGGGGCUAAUACCGGAUAAUUCUUUCCCUCACAUGAGGGAAAGCUGAAAGAUGGUUUCGGCUAUCACUUACAGAUGGGCCCGCGGCGCAUUAGCUAGUUGGUGAGGUAACGGCUCACCAAGGCAACGAUGCGUAGCCGACCUGAGAGGGUGAUCGGCCACACUGGGACUGAGACACGGCCCAGACUCCUACGGGAGGCAGCAGUAGGGAAUCUUCCGCAAUGGACGAAAGUCUGACGGAGCAACGCCGCGUGAGUGAUGAAGGUUUUCGGAUCGUAAAACUCUGUUGUUAGGGAAGAACAAGUACCGGAGUAACUGCCGGUACCUUGACGGUACCUAACCAGAAAGCCACGGCUAACUACGUGCCAGCAGCCGCGGUAAUACGUAGGUGGCAAGCGUUGUCCGGAAUUAUUGGGCGUAAAGCGCGCGCAGGCGGUUCCUUAAGUCUGAUGUGAAAGCCCCCGGCUCAACCGGGGAGGGUCAUUGGAAACUGGGGAACUUGAGUGCAGAAGAGAAGAGUGGAAUUCCACGU